rnacentral:tRNA from 1 species
UAGUAAGAAGCAAGAAUUGCAAUCAGUUUCGACCUGAUCUUAGAUAAAAAUCAUUUAUCCUUACUUU